GAGGCUGUAGCUCAGGGGUAGAGCGUGUGCUCAGCGUGCACGAGGUCCUGGGUUCAAUCCCCAGCGCCUCCA
rfam:Camelus ferus unplaced genomic scaffold scaffold896, whole genome shotgun sequence.